AUCUAUCCAUCCAUCCAUCCGUCCAUCCAUCUAUCCAUCAUCCAUCAUCUAUCCAUCCAUCCGUCAUCCACCCAAUAAAUAGUUAUUGAGCCCCAACCAUGUGCAAGACACCAUGUCGAGUGCUGGAAGAACAAUGGUGAGAAAUACAGCCAGGGUCCCUGCCCUCAUCAAGCUUCCAUUCUAAGGCAGGGAAAAUAAUAAAUGCUAAUGAGCCUUCUGACAGAAGAAGGACCAACUCCUAGGAGGAUUUUAAAUCUGGAUUAUUUUGUGGCCUGGAGCUUAGCUCAUCAGCUCAGUGAUCUGCCAGUCCCUUGCAGGUCACCCAGAUCACUGAUAAAAUCAUGAAACGGGAUAAACUGCAGCCCCACCCCCACCCCCCUCUGCUGGACUGUGGGCGUGCUGCAGUCCCCUUGGGAACCUAGUAUCUUGCAUGGUGCUUGACGUGGAAAAGGAGCUCAUAAAAGGUUAGAUGACUAAAAAGGCAGAAGGAUGGACAGACAGAUAGACCACAGAUGAACAACAUGGCCAAGGCCAGAGAGCUGUGGCCCAUCAGGACUGUAGGGAAUUGCAUAGCCCACCUUUAUCCCUGACAGGGCACGGGACACCUCCGAGAUGCUCCGCUGCCUGUUGGUCCAGGGCCUUGGCCACUCUCGUCUGGGUCAGGUAACCUGAGCUCAGGGCAGCUGCCAACCGCCUCACUGAGCCGGGCCUCCAGUUCCCUCCACCGCCCUCCGCCUGCCCCUUUCUAAUGGGAAGCUCAAUCUCCUCGAUGGAAAAGUUGGAAUCAAUAGAGGAGUUGAUUGGUUCCACUUUCUCUCCACCAUCUCUUAGCAGCGAGAUGAUGUUACAGAAAGGGCACAGGCCUGGAGUCGGGCGGGCUGGAGUGGAUCCUCCCUCACCCUUGGUGCACUUGGAGCCAAUCGCACCCCCUCUGUGGGCCUCAGCUUCCCCACCUCUAAAAUGUGGGUAAUACUACUGCCUCAUGGAUUUGCUGUAAGAGUUCUUGGGGAUUGGAAGAGCCAGGAAGGUGGGAACUGCAAAGGCCAGGCGGUCUUGGCCGAGGCAUGUCUGUCUGUGUUGGCAAUGAGCUUCCAGUCUCCUGGGAAGGCAGAGAAGAACGUUCUGUCCCACGUUGGUGUCAGUGUAGCUAGAAAGGGCGUCAGACGUGGCUUCAGAGGUUUUGUAAGCCUGCGUCGCAGGAACAUGACCUUGAACAGGUGGACCUAAUCUGCACACGUGCCAGGGGGACCCUCCAUCCCCCGCUGGAGGAAACAGGGUCAGGGACUCUGGGCCCGACAUGUGUCCUUGGACACCAGAACCUAAGGGCAGCCCUGAGCGCCCAGGACGCAAACUCAUCCUCGACUGGAGAGGUUAGGUGAGGGUGUCCCCAGGCUCAGGGGCCACACACUGUACCCCUCUGCUCUCUGAAAACUUUGUGAUGCCAAAUAUUUACAUAUUUUAAAGUCAACUUGUUACUUUUUUCUGAUUAUAAAACUAGAUCGGACUUGACAAAUUCAGAAAAGAACAAGAAGAAAAUAAAAAUCUUCCUUAAUUCUGUCACCUAGACAUCCUUAACAUAGAACCUUCUUUCCUUUUAUCCUUCCUACUGAUAAUAAUAAAAAUAGCCACUCUCAUUUCUAUCUUGCUCAUCAGGUGACUGCACACACCUCAUCUGGUCCAGGCCUCACAUGGUCUGUGGAGUGGGAACUCUUUUGCUAAUAAUAAAGUGAAGGAUCAGAGAGGUGAUGUCCCUUGCCCAAGGUCACUCAGCUUGAGAGUGUUGAAAAACCCUGCCAGAAGCAUUCCAUGGCAGAGAUUAAAACCGUUUCGGAAGCAGGCACCCAAUUCUUCUCUUUGGAUGGAUUGGGGAGACGUGAGCAUGUUUAAACGUUGAUGAGGAAGCUCCAGAAGAGAGGGAAGGUUUGGGGUUCGCUGAUGGCAUAGACCCCCAAGUGGAAGAGGGGAAGGAGGGCUAAGCAAGCCCCGCUCCUCGAUCAUCCUGAAGAUCCCUAUGGAGAUAAGCAAAUAAGUUCAAUGGGAGCAAGCUGCGACCUCACCAGCUAAGGGAAGGCAGGAUGAUGAGGUGGACAAUUUGAGGAGAGUGGAGAAAGCUGGCAAGAGUGGAGAAUAGGAGUGGGAGCUGACCAGGAAACAUGGAAGAGUUCAUGUGAAACCAUCUGAGGCUGGGGACCAUGAGCUUAUCCUGGCGUCGAGAGGUGAGCAUCUCUUCCCAGUAUGUCCAAGGACAGCACUUUGGUAGCUUAGGAUUGGCCACGGAGAGGGUAUUUACACCAUGGAAAUUGGCAAGCGCUGCAAAUCAGGGUUAUUUUCCCUGGAGAGCUGGUUGUUAAACGUUUACCAACACACCUCGGAAAUCCGGCACCAGUCAAUACAACAGGAGAAGAAAAGAAAACCAAACAAGUGGUAAAACUACAAGAAAGAAGGGGGGAAAUUAUUUUUCACGUAUUAUAUGCUUACUUACCUAAGAAAUCCAAAAGACCAACUGGAAACUAUUACAGUUAAUCAGGGAAUUUAGUAAGAUGCUGACUUAAAUAUUCAAAAAUCGAUACCUUUCCUGUGUACCAGAAUUAAUCGUCUAGAAUAUAUGAUGGGAAAAAGAUGACAUUCAUGAUGGCAACAAAAAUAUAAAAUACAUAGCAACAAACUUAGCAAUAAACAUGUGAGACUAAAUUUAAUGUAAAAAUAAGAAUUGACUAUAUGGAAACGCCUGCUGUGCUCAUGGAAAAGAAUAAAAAAUGUCAAUUCCAUUAAGAUUAAUCCAUAGAUUUAAUUCAGUGCCAAUUAAAUCCCAAAUGUAUUUUCUUACUUGCCAACAUCAGUUCAUUGGGAGUUAUAAAUAGGCAAGAACGCCUAAGAACGUCUUAAUAAAUGAAAUUGAUCGAGGUGGGAGCCGCUUCCAAGGUCAGAUAUUAAAAUGCAAGUACCAGGAGGAUGAUGUUGCUCCUGCUCCAUUGUCCGCUGCUGAUUCGCAGUUUCUGGGACAGCACCUGGUCCACAGACCAACUCAAUACAUAUUUGUUGAAUGAGUGAGUGAGUGAGUGAGUGAACGAGUGAAUGACAAUGCAUUGUGAAGGCAUAACAACUCGCAACAGUAUGAACGCACAAUUAAGUGAAUGAGCCAACAUAAUAAUUCAAGUAUGUGUAACUAUUUGUUAUAUGAUAAAGGUGGCUUUUCAAAUGAGUAGGGGAAAACAAGAAUUCCUUAAUAAAUAGUGAUGGGAUAACUGGUCAACCAUUUGAAAAAUAGUCAGACAAUUGGGCACACACUAAUAAUUGGAUCGGUUAAGCAAAUUAUGUUGCGUCAACAUGAUGGAACGCUAUGGACCCAUAAGAACGAUGUUAUGGAUGAUAGCUGUUGGUAUGGGUCACUAAAU